rnacentral:lncRNA from 1 species
CGGGCGGCAGUAGGCUCUGCUACCAGCUCAGGAAGAGUACUGGAUUGCAACCCAAAAUCACUUCGAGGCUUGGGACUUUUCUUUUUGCUUUUCUGAGGGAAGAGUCGAGGAAUAAAACAUGCAGGUUGGAUGCAAACUGAUGAUGGCUCAAUACAGGCAGGCUGGACACAGAAUGCAGCUCGUUUUGAUGGGUCAGAAUCGUAUGAAGUUUUUAUCAGGGUGGGUGACACUGCACAUCUUAGUGAAAGGUCGAAAUCCGAGAGCAUUAUGUGGCCAUCAUCGCG